AUGCUGUGGUCUGGGCAUGCUGCAAUAUAUUCCUAAAGACGUUCCCAGGCUUCCGGGACUGUCUCGUCCUGGAGUUGUCGAAAACUAGAAAUCCUAUUCCGAAGGCAU